UACGUAGGUGGCAAGCGUUGUCCGGAUUUAUUGGGUUUAAAGGGUGCGUAGGCGGCCCUGUAAGUCAGUGCUGAAAUAUCCCGGCUUAACCGGGAGGGUGGCAUUGAUACUGCAGGGCUUGAGUACAGAUGAAGUAGGCGGAAUUGACGGUGUAGCGGUGAAAUGCAUAGAUAUCGUCAAGAACACCGAUAGCGAAGGCAGCUUACUAAGCUGAUAACUGACG
rnacentral:rRNA from 1 species